rnacentral:rRNA from 1 species
GCACAAGCGGUGGAGCAUGUGGUUUAAUUCGACGCAACGCGAAGAACCUUACCUGGGCUCGAAAUGUUAUGGACCGGAGUGGAAACAUUCCUUCCCCGCAAGGGGCCGUAAUAUAGGUGCUGCAUGGCUGUCGUCAGCUCGUGUCGUGAGAUGUUGGGUUAAGUCCCGCAACGAGCGCAACCCUUAUCUUCAGUUGCUACCAUUUAGUUGAGCACUCUGACGAAACCGCCUCGGAUAACGGGGAGGAAGGUGGGGAUGACGUCAAGUCCUCAUGGCCUUUAUGUCCAGGGCUACACACGUGCUACAAUGGUCGGUACAAACCGUCGCAAACCCGUGAGGGGGAGCUAAUCGGAAAAAGCCGACCUCAGUUCGGAUCGUAGUCUGCAACUCGACUACGUGAAGCUGGAAUCGCUAGUAAUCGCGGAUCAGAAUGCCGCGGUGAAUACGUUCCCGGGC